rnacentral:rRNA from 1 species
AGGAUGAACGCUGGCGGCGUGCCUAACACAUGCAAGUCGAACGUCCUGUCUCGCAAGAGGCAGGGAGUGGCGGACGGGUGAGUACCACGUGGGUCAUCUACCGUGAGGUGAGGAAUACCGGCGAGAAAUCGCCGACAAGACCGCAUAGGCUCGAUGCAAGUCGAGCAAAGCUCUUUCGAGAGAGGGAGCGCCACACGAGGAGCCUGCGCCCGAUUAGCUAGCUGGUGGAGUAACGGUUCACCAGGGCGACGAUCGGUAGCUGGUCUGAGAGGACGAUCAGCCACACUGGGAUUGAGAACGGCCCAGACUCCUACGGGGGGCAGCAGUGAGGAAUUUUCGUCAAUGGGGGCAACCCUGAACGAGCAACGCCGCGUGCAGGAAGAGGUUUUCGGAUCGUAAACUGCUUUUCUCGGGAAGAGAAUGGACGGUACCCGAGGAAUCAGCCCGGCUAGCUACGUGCCAGCAGCCGC